UGUAUCAGAGGAUGAAACCUUGAAACAAUCUUAGGACACCUUCUGACACAGUUUCACUGUGAAUGAGAAGGCAAUUAUUUUCUGAUGAUACU
rnacentral:snoRNA from 1 species